CCUACGGGCGGCAGCAGUGGGGAAUAUUGGACAAUGGGGGGAACCCUGAUCCAGCCAUGCCGCGUGUGUGAAGAAGGCCCUCGGGUUGUAAAGCACUUUCAGUGAGGAAGAACGCCUGGUGGUUAAUACCCAUCAGGAAAGACAUCACUCACAGAAGAAGCACCGGCUAACUCCGUGCCAGCAGCCGCGGUAAUACGGAGGGUGCGAGCGUUAAUCGGAAUUACUGGGCGUAAAGCGCGCGUAGGUGGCUUGAUAAGCCGGUUGUGAAAGCCCCGGGCUCAACCUGGGAACGGCAUCCGGAACUGUCAAGCUAGAGUGCAGGAGAGGAAGGUAGAAUUCCCGGUGGAGCGGUGAAAUGCGUAGAGAUCGGGAGGAAUACCAGUGGCGAAGGCGGCCUUCUGGACUGACACUGACACUGAGGUGCGAAAGCGUGGGUAGCAAACAGGAUUAGAUAUCCUUGUAGUC
rnacentral:rRNA from 1 species